rnacentral:rRNA from 1 species
UGGGGAAUAUUGGACAAUGGGCGCAAGCCUGAUCCAGCAACGCCGCGUGGAGGACGAAGGUCUUCGGAUCGUAAACUCCUGUCAGGCGGGACGAAGGCUGCGGGGUAAAUAAUCCCGUAGCUUGACGGUACUGCCAGAGGAAGCCCCGGCUAACUCCGUGCCAGCAGCCGCGGUAAUACGGAGGGGGCGAGCGUUAUUCGGAAUUAUUGGGCGUAAAGGGCGCGUAGGCGGCCCGGUAAGUCAAAGGUGAAAUCCCUCGGCUCAACUGAGGAACUGCCUUUGAAACUGUCGGGCUUGAGGCCGGGAGGGGGUAGCGGAAUUCCCAGUGUAGCGGUGAAAUGCGUAGAUAUUGGGAGGAACACCGGUGGCGAAGGCGGCUACCUGGACCGGUUCUGACGCUGAGGCGCGAAAGCGUGGGUAGCAAACAGGAUUAGAUACCCUGGUAGUCCACGCUGUAACCGAUGGGUGCUCGGUGUCGCGGGUAUCGACCCCUGCGGUGCCUUAGUUAACACGUUAAGCACCCCGCCUGGGGAGUACGGUCGCAAGGCUGA